rnacentral:rRNA from 1 species
CAGCCGUAAACUAUGCGCGUUAGGUGUAUCGGUGACCACGAGUUACCGAGGUGCCGAAGGGAAACCGUGAAACGUGCCGCCUGGGAAGUACGGUCGCAAGGCUGAAACUUAAAGGAAUUGGCGGGGGAGGCACCACAACAGGUGGAGCCUGCGGGUUUAAUUGGACUCAACGCCGGGAAGCUCACCGGAUAGGACAGCAGAAUGAUUGUCGGGCUGAAGACCCUGCAUGACUAGCUGAGAGGAGGUGCAUGGCGUAGACGUCU